UUAUAAGAGACAGCAGCCGCCGCGGUAAUACGAAGGGUGCAAGCGUUACUCGGAAUUACUGGGCGUAAAGCGUGCGUAGGUGGUGGUUUAAGUCCGUUGUGAAAGCCCUGGGCUCAACCUGGGAAUUGCAGUGGAUACUGGGUCACUAGAGUGUGGUAGAGGAUAGUGGAAUUUCCGGUGUAGCAGUGAAAUGCGUAGAGAUCGGAAGGAACAUCUGUGGCGAAGGCGACUAUCUGGGCCAACACUGACACUGAGGCACGAAAGCGUGGGGAGCAAACAGGAUUAGAUACCCCAGUAGUCCCUGUCUCUUAUAA
rnacentral:rRNA from 1 species